AGCGAACGCUGGCGGCAGGCCUAACACAUGCAAGUCGAAUGGAUCCUUCGGGAUUAGUGGCGGACGGGUGAGUAACACGUGGGAACGUGCCCUUUGGUUCGGAACAACUCAGGGAAACUUGAGCUAAUACCGGAUGUGCCCUUCGGGGGAAAGAUUUAUCGCCAUUGGAGCGGCCCGCGUCUGAUUAGCUAGUUGGUGAGGUAACGGCCCACCAAGGCGACGAUCAGUAGCUGGUCUGAGAGGAUGAUCAGCCACACUGGGACUGAGACACGGCCCAGACUCCUACGGGAGGCAGCAGUGGGGAAUCUUGCGCAAUGGGCGAAAGCCUGACGCAGCCAUGCCGCGUGAAUGAUGAAGGUCUUAGGAUUGUAAAAUUCUUUCAGCGGGGACGAUAAUGACGGUACCCGCAGAAGAAGCGCCGGCUAACUUCGUG
rnacentral:rRNA from 1 species